rnacentral:lncRNA from 1 species
CGGGGAUGGAAUUGAUGACGCCUUCUUCGGCGACGGUGAUAGUGAAGAUGACGACGAUCCCUUUGGCCACGACGGAUGGAGGAAAUGGGCGUGCAUUAGUGAGAGAGGGAGGAAGGGAAGGAGGGGACGGUGUAUAGGAUUGUAGAUGGUAGCGAAUUGUUUGGAUGCAUUAUUAGAAGUCUGGUGGAGGGAAGGAAAAGAAUGAUAAUGAAUUAAUCGGAGAGAGGGAGCGAGGUAAGGAUUAUAGAUUGCAUGGAAAUAUUUAGAUGCAUUAAUUGAAAGUUUAGUAGUGAGAACGUUUAGAUGUAUUAGUUAAAUAUAUUAAUUAAAAGUUUGAUGAAGGGAAUGGGACAAGUCAAAUGCCGGUGAGGGUGAAGGACAACUUGCCACGUGGCAAAAAAUAUUUGAGAUUGAAAAUUUGGCAGUGAAAACAUUUAGAUAUAUUAAUUAAAUGAGAAAUGAUUCGGCACUUUAUUAUUAAAAAAAUAAAAUAGAUCUUAACCGUUGAUUAAUAGAGGAUAAAGUUGUAAUUUUAACAUUCAGCAGGUAAAAGAGUUACAUCAUUCGAGGUUAUUUUGGUAAUUAAACUAUAGAACAUUUAAAGAAACUUUUAAUUGAUAUCCUAAAUUUAUGCAUUAAUUUGCACUAAUUUGAAAAAUUAAUUGAUUACCCUAAUUUAGCCAUUAAUUA